GUGCCAGCAGCCGCGGUAAGACAGAGGGUGCAAACGUUGCUCGGAAUUACUGGGCGUAAAGCGCGUGUAGGCGGACCGGAAAGUCGGGCGUGAAAUCCCUGGGCUCAACCCAGGAACUGCACCCGAAACUUCCGGCCUUGAGUGGUGGAGAGGGUAGUGGAAUUCCUGGUGUAGAGGUGAAAUUCGUAGAUAUCAGGAGGAACACCGGUGGCGAAGGCGGCUACCUGGACACUAACUGACGCUGAGACGCGAAAGCGUGGGGAGCAAACAGGAUUAGAAACCCCUGUAGUCC
rnacentral:rRNA from 1 species